UAGUAGCGGCGAGCGAAGCGGGAAGAGCUCAAAUUUAUAAUCUGGCACCUUCGGUGUCCGAGUUGUAAUCUCUAGAAGUGUUUUCCGCGUUGGACCGCACACAAGUCUGUUGGAAUACAGCGGCAUAGUGGUGAAACCCCCGUAUAUGGUGCGGACGCCCAGCGCUUUGUGAUACACUUUCAAUGAGUCGAGUUGUUUGGGAAUGCAGCUCAAAUUGGGUGGUAAAUUCCAUCUAAAGCUAAAUAUUGGCGAGAGACCGAUAGCGAACAAGUACCGUGAGGGAAAGAUGAAAAGCACUUUGGAAAGAGAGUUAACAGUACGUGAAAUUGUUGGAAGGGAAACGCUUGAAGUCAGACUUGCUUGCCGGAGCUUGCUUCGGUUUGCAGGCCAGCAUCAGUUUUUCGGGGUGGAUAAUGACGGUUUGAAGGUAGCAGUCUCGGCUGUGUUAUAGCUUUCCGUUGGAUACAUCCUGGGGGACUGAGGAACGCAGCGUGCUUUUUGCGAAAGACUCGUCUUUUUCACGCUUAGGAUGCUGGUGGAAUGGCUUUAAACGACCCGUCUUGA
rnacentral:rRNA from 1 species